AGUGAACGCUGGCGGCGUGCCUAAUACAUGCAAGUCGAACGGAGAUUCAGUAGCUUGCUAUUUAAUCUUAGUGGCGCACGGGUGAGUAAUAUAUAGCUAACUUGCCCAUUACUAAGGGACAACAGUUGGAAACGACUGCUAAUACCUUAUACUCCGUAUCUAUAUAAGCAGAUACGGGAAAGUUUUUCGGUAAUGGAUAGGGCUAUAUCGUAUCAGCUAGUUGGUAAGGUAAUGGCUUACCAAGGCUAUGACGCGUAACUGGUCUGAGAGGAUGAUCAGUCACACUGGAACUGAGACACGGUCCAGACUCCUACGGGAGGCAGCAGUAGGGAAUAUUGCUCAAUGGGGGAAACCCUGAAGCAGCAACGCCGCGUGAAGGAUGACACUUUUCGGAGCGUAAACUCCUUUUCUUGGGAAAGAAUUAUGACGGUACCCAAGGAAUAAGCACCGGCUAACUCCGUG
rnacentral:rRNA from 1 species